UACGUAGGGAGCAAGCGUUGUUCGGAUUUACUGGGCGUAAAGCGCGCGCAGGCGGCCUUUUAAGUCUGACGGUGAAAUGCCGGGGCUCAACCCCGUGCCCGCCGGAGAUACUGGGAGGCUGGAGACGAGUAGAGGCAAGCGGAAUUCCUGGUGUAGCGGUGAAAUGCGCAGAUAUCAGGAGGAACACCAAUGGCGAAGGCAGCUCGCUGGGACGGUACUGACGCUGAGACGCGAAAGCGUGGGGAGCAAACAGG
rnacentral:rRNA from 1 species